rnacentral:other from 1 species
UUAAGUUCACCGCGACGCCGUUUUACCUAAGUUUAUGACCUGGGUUUAUCCAGGUGGGAACCUAAAUUCCUCGUUUAAAGUUUCCGGGUACAUGCCCGGUUUACUGCCACGAGAACAGUUGACUCCCUUGUCAUUAAAGGCAUAGAUCAAAAAACUUGAUGGCAGUCACCAACGUCGUAGUGCAACUCA